UUUUUCCAGGAAAGCUACGUUUAUUCACCAGAAUCGGCUCUUGCCGCUGGCUAAUUACAACUGCAGCUGCAGCUAAUCGUAAAGUGAAUAGAUGAACUUAUGAGGUGAGCUUCGCCAUGUUUAAUUGGACAUGUGUGUGUGUGUGUGCUACUACUGCCUUUCAUCAGGAAGAAAAAUAGCGCAGUUGUUAGCUUGAGAGCAUCGGGCGUGCUAUUGGCUAUUGCGCUUAUGAUGAAACCGGUGCGUUAUAUAUUUAUAUUAUUAUAUAGAAAAGAGGUGUAGCUCAAUUUAUCGUUAGGAUCACGUUAACCUGUUGUCAGUGGGAAAAUCGACAACAAAAUUAAAAGCCAAGUCCAAUUUAGAAAGCACUGAUCUUAAAAAUACCACAAUAGCUAUAUGCAAGUUGACUUAAUUUGCAAUUUGUAUAUGUCGAUUUUGUGGGAGGAGAAACGAUUCGAUGGGCAAGAAAGCUGAGGAAGAAGAAAGAAGGCCCGAUGUUGGAUCUUAAUUUAAUGACCCAGAAAACCGACUUACCCAAGAUAAAUUCUAAAAGCCCAUAGAAAUGAGAUGUCAUGUAAGAAGUCAUGAAUAUACUUCACUGCCGUUCAAAACUUCCGACACAAAGGAAAAACGUAUAGAUUAUAGGCAUAUGUAGGGAAAAAAAAUAGGAGAAAGCCCUCAUGUUUAUUUUCCUCCAAAAUGCUAUGAAAUUUUUCUUUACCUGAUUUCAUAGGAACCAUGAUGAGCACAUCACAACAUGGUCGCAAUUUUUCCUAUAUGAAUUUACUCAUUCAAAGUUCUAGACGCGGCCUAAGACCAUAUAGAUGUUCUUCAGCCAAAGAACCAUAUAUGUCAUAAUACAUGGAUCAUUCUUUGAUUCUUGGGGUGAUCCAACCGUUUGGAGGUCGUAUGUUACCCUCAACAUAAAAUAGAGACAUAAAUUUGAAAAUAAAAUACCUUGGUGGAGGUAUGUUUUUACUGACAAACAUAAUCUUAAUUACUAUUAAACUGAUCAUUGGCCCAUGAAUUAACACUCUAACUUAUUUUGUUUUAACCCGCAGGAAGGAACAAUCUGGCAAGCCUACAAAAGCUACAAAUAAAUACUACAAAAACUCAAGCAAAGAUGAUCUAGUUUUAAGGGCGACACUGGACUCAAUUACUAGAAUUGGAUAAAAUUGCAAUCCGGUGAUGAAAAGGAACAUGAAAUUACCGGCAAUUGCACAAAUAUCACCUUGUCCACUUAUUGUUUGUAAGAGAAUGCAGCUGUGCCGCUUGCCGUCUAUAAUUUUGUCAAGAAAAGGAAAAAAUGUUGCAUCUAUAGGCCUUGUACUUUCAAGCUUUUGGCUCACUAAUGAUUUAUGUACUACAGUUCAUGUAUUGUUCAAACAUGUGAGUUUGAAGUACUUUGAAUGUAUUAA